UCUAUGUGAAUGUGUGUGUCCUUGCAAAGAUGUUCUAAGCAAGUUAGACACACACACACACACACACACACACUAUUUUUACACAAA
rnacentral:miRNA from 1 species